rnacentral:rRNA from 1 species
CCUACGGGUGGCUGCAGUGAGGAAUAUUGGUCAAUGGACGAGAGUCUGAACCAGCCAAGUAGCGUGAAGGAUGACUGCCCUAUGGGUUGUAAACUUCUUUUAUAUGGGAAUAAAACGUUCCACGUGUGGGAUUUUGUAUGUACCAUAUGAAUAAGGAUCGGCUAACUCCGUGCCAGCAGCCGCGGUAAUACGGAGGAUCCGAGCGUUAUCCGGUUUUAUUGGGUUUAAAGGGAGCGUAGGUGGAUUGUUAAGUCAGUUGUGAAAGUUUGCGGCUCAACCGUAAAAUUGCAGUUGAAACUGGCAGUCUUGAGUACAGUAGAGGUGGGCGGAAUUCGUGGUGUAGCGGUGAAAUGCUUAGAUAUCACGAAGAACUCCGAUUGCGAAGGCAGUUCACUGGACUGCAACUGACACUGAGGCUCGAAAGUGUGGGUAUCAAACAGGAUUAGAUACCCUUGUAGUC